rnacentral:rRNA from 1 species
GACGAACGCUGGCGGCGUGCUUAACACAUGCAAGUCGAACGGAAAGGCCCUGCUUUUGUGGGGUGCUCGAGUGGCGAACGGGUGAGUAACACGUGAGUAACCUGCCCUUGACUUUGGGAUAACUUCAGGAAACUGGGGCUAAUACCGGAUAGGAGCUCCUGCUGCAUGGUGGGGGUUGGAAAGUUUCGGCGGUUGGGGAUGGACUCGCGGCUUAUCAGCUUGUUGGUGGGGUAGUGGCUUACCAAGGCUUUGACGGGUAGCCGGCCUGAGAGGGUGACCGGCCACAUGGGGACUGGGAUACGGCCCAGACUCCAACGGGAGGCAGCAGUGGGGAAUAUUGCACAAUGGGCGGAAGCCGGAUGCAGCAACGCCGGGUGGGGGAGGACGGCCUUCGGGUGGUAAACCGCUUUCGCCUGUGACGAAGCGUGAGUGACGGUAAUGGGUAAAGAAGCACCGGCUAACUACGU